AUCUAUACUGUGAAACUGCGAAUGGCUCAUUAAAUCAGUUAUCGUUUAUUUGAUAGUACCUUACUACUUGGAUAACCGUGGUAAUUCUAGAGCUAAUACAUGCUAAAAACCCCGACUUCGGAAGGGGUGUAUUUAUUAGAUAAAAAACCAAUGCCCUUCGGGGCUCCUUGGUGAAUCAUGAUAACUUAACGAAUCGCAUGGCCUUGCGCCGGCGAUGGUUCAUUCAAAUUUCUGCCCUAUCAACUUUCGAUGGUAGGAUAGUGGCCUACCAUGGUAGCAACGGGUAACGGGGAAUUAGGGUUCUAUUCCGGAGAGGGAGCCUGAGAAACGGCUACCACAUCCAAGGAAGGCAGCAGGCGCGCAAAUUACCCAAUCCCGACACGGGGAGGUAGUGACAAUAAAUACUGAUACAGGGCUCUUUCGAGUCUUGUAAUUGGAAUGAGUACAAUUUAAAUACCUUAACGAGGAACAAUUGGAGGGCAAGUCUGGUGCCAGCAGCCGCGGUAAUUCCAGCUCCAAUAGCGUAUAUUAAAGUUGUUGCAGUUAAAAAGCUCGUAGUUGAACCUUGGGCCUGGCUGGCCGGUCCGCCUCACCGCGUGUACUGGUCCGGCCGGGCCUUUCCUUCUGGGGAUCCGCAUGCCCUUCACUGGGUGUGCCGGGGAACCAGGACUUUUACUUUGAAAAAAUUAGAGUGUUCAAAGCAGGCCUUUGCUCGAAUACAUUAGCAUGGAAUAAUAGAAUAGGACGUGCGGUCCUAUUUUGUUGUUUUCUAGGACCGCCGUAAUGAUUAAUAGGGAUAGUCGGGGGCAUCAGUAUUCAAUUGUCAGAGGUGAAAUUCUUGGAUUUAUUGAAGACUAACUACUGCGAAAGCAUUUGCCAAGGAUGUUUUCAUUAAUCAGUGAACGAAAGUUAGGGGAUCGAAGACGAUCAGAUACCGUCGUAGUCUUAACCGUAAACUAUGCCGACUAGGGAUCGGGCGAUGUUAUUAUUUUGACUCGCUCGGCACCUUACGAGAAAUCAAAGUCU
rnacentral:rRNA from 1 species